rnacentral:rRNA from 1 species
ACUCCUACGGAGGCAGGCAGCAGUCAGGGGGAAUAUUGCACAAUGGGCGCAAGCCUGAUGCAGCCAUGCCGCGUGUGUGAAGAAGGCCUUCGGGUUGUAAAGCACUUUCAGCGAGGAGGAAGGUGGUGAACUUAAUACGUUCAUCAAUUGACGUUACUCGCAGAAGAAGCACCGGCUAACUCCGUGCCAGCAGCCGCGGUAAU